GCGUUGCCGCCGUGCUUGUGCGCGCAGUGUGCGUGGCUUGAGCACGGCGGCGUUUUGCAGGGGACGCUUUCCUGGCCGGGGUGCUGAUUUGGAAACGAGCUCAGCAUUCGCACUGUCUUUUGGGCCUACCAUGAGGCGCCUAGGUUCGGUGCAGCGGAAAAUGCCAUGUGUGUUUGUGACGGAGGUGAAAGAGGAGCCCUCCACCAAAAGGGAGCAUCAGGUACCGAGGUGUGCGGCCCCGUGGAGCGGCCGCGCAGGGGCUGCCGGGCGCUGUAGAGCCGCCCUGCAGCCAUUUAAGGUUUUGGCAACUGAAACUAUAAGUCACAAGGCAUUAGAUGCAGAUAUAUACAGUGCAAUUCCAACAGAAAAAGUGGAUGGAACAUGUUGUUAUAUUACUAACUAUAAAGGUCAGCCAUACCUUUGGGCUCGACUAGAUAGAAAACCUAACAAAUUAGCUGAGAAAAGAUUUAAAAAUUUUCUACAUUCAAAACAAAACGCAAAAGAAUUUUUUUGGAAUGUUGAGGAGGACUUCAAACCUGUUCCAGAGUGCUGGAUACCAGCGAAGGAAAUAGAACAAUUAAAUGGGAAUCCGAUGCCUGAUGAAAAUGGACACAUUCCUGGUUGGGUACCAGUGGAGAAAAACAACAAACAGUAUUGCUGGCAUUCCUCUGUAGUUAAUUAUGAAUUUGAAGUUGCCCUGGUACUGAAGCAUCAUCCUGAUGAUCCUGGUCUUUUGGAAAUUAGUGCAGUGCCGCUAUCAGAUCUCCUAGAACAAACACUAGAGCUUAUCGGAACAAAUAUUAAUGGAAACCCAUAUGGGUUAGGAAGCAAGAAGCAUCCAUUACAUCUUCUUAUACCACAUGGGGCAUUUCAAAUAAGAAAUCUACCAACCUUGAAGCACAAUGAUCUAUUAUCCUGGUUUGAAGGUUGCAGAGAGGGUAAAAUUGAAGGAAUAGUAUGGCAUUGCAAUGAUGGCUGUUUAAUCAAGGUUUCCAGGUGCUGGAAAUACAGAGUCAACAAAACAAUGUCUGUGCCUUCAUGAAGCUCACAGUCUAAUGGGGAAGAUAGACAGUAACACGUAAAUAUAUAAUAUGUCAGGAGAAGAACAGCUAUGAAAAAAAAAGGGUUCAUCGCCAUCAUCUUGGUUUAUGCUGGCCAAUUCCAGAUACCUACAUGAAUUCAAAACCCGUUAUUAUCAACAUGAACCUGAACAAGUAUGA